rnacentral:rRNA from 1 species
UACGAGAGUUUUUAACUCAAGUGGCGGACGGGUGAGUAACACGUAAGAAUUUGCCUUUAGGAGGGGGAUAACAAUUGGAAACGAUUGCUAAUACCCCAUAUGCUUUAGAGUGAAAUGGAUUUUCCGCCUAAAGAGAAGCUUGCGGCUGAUUAGCUUGUUGGUAGAGUAAUAGCCUACCAAGGCGACGAUCAGUAUCUGGUUUGAGAGGACGAUCAGACACACUGGAACUGAGACACGGUCCAGACUCCUGCGGGAGGCAGCAGUAGGGAAUUUUCCGCAAUGGGCGAAAGCCUGACGGAGCAAUACCGCGUGAGGGAUUUAAUGCCUAUGGGUUGUAAACCUCUUUUUUCAGGGAAGAAUUUGUGACGUGUACCUGAAGAAUAAGCAUCGGCUAACUCCGUGCCAGCAGCCGCGGUAAUACGGGGGAUGCAAGUGUUAUCCGGAAUCACUGGGCGUAAAGCGUCUGUAGGUGGUCGAAUAAGUCAACUGUUAAAUCUUGAGGCUCAACCUCAAAACUGCAGUCGAAACUAUUAGACUAGAGUUUAGUAGAGGUGAAGGGAAC